rnacentral:pre_miRNA from 1 species
AUUGGGAUUGCUGGAUCAUACGGUAGUUUUGCUUUUAAUUUUUUGAGGAAUAUCCAUGUUAUUUUCCAUGUGACCAUACCAAUUUACAUUUCCAACAGCAAU